GGAAAAGAAACCAACAGGGAUUGCCUCAGUAACGGCGAGUGAAGCGGCACAAGCUCAAAUUUGAAAUCUGGCUCUUUCAGGGUCCGAGUUGUAAUUUGUAGAAGAUGCUUCGGGUGUGGCCCCGGUCUAAGUUCCUUGGAACAGGACGUCAUAGAGGGUGAGAAUCCCGUAUGUGACUGGGUGCCUACGCUCAUGUGAAGCUCUUUCGACGAGUCGAGUUGUUUGGGAAUGCAGCUCAAAAUGGGUGGUAUAUUUCAUCUAAAGCUAAAUAUUGGCCAGAGACCGAUAGCGCACAAGUAGAGUGAUCGAAAGAUGAAAAGCACUUUGGAAAGAGAGUUAAACAGUACGUGAAAUUGUUGAAAGGGAAGCGCUUGCAAUCAGACUUGCGCCUGGGUAAUCAUCCGGGGUUCUCUCCGGUGCACUUGCUCAGGCUCAGGCCAGCAUCGGUUUGGGUGGUUGGAUAAAGGCCUUGGGAAUGUGGCCCCCUUCGGGGGGUGUUAUAGCCCUCGGUGCCAUGCAGCCUACCUGGACCGAGGACCGCGCUUCGGC
rnacentral:rRNA from 1 species